rnacentral:rRNA from 1 species
CGAGGAACGAACGCUGGCGGCGUGCCUAACACAUGCAAGUCGAGCGAGAAUUUAGUAAUUGAUCCCUUCGGGGGUGAUUUUUGCUAAAGGAAAGCGGCGGACGGGUGAGUAACGCGUGAGUAACCUGCCCUUUUGGAGUGGGAUAACACAGAGAAAUCUGUGCUAAAUACCGCAUAAUAUAUGUUUACCGCAUGAUAGACAUAUCAAAGAUUUAUCGCCAAAGGAUGGACUCGCGUCUGAUUAGAUAGUUGGUGAGGUAACGGCUCACCAAGUCGACGAUCAGUAGCCGAACUGAGAGGUUGAUCGGCCACAUUGGGACUGAGACACGGCCCAGACUCCUACGGGAGGCAGCAGUGGGGAAUAUUGCGCAAUGGGGGAAACCCUGACGCAGCAACGCCGCGUGAAGGAAGAAGGUCUUCGGAUUGUAAACUUUUGUCUUAUGGGAAGAAUUUUGACGGUACCAUAGGAGGAAGCCACGGCUAACUACGUG